ensembl:snoRNA U3 Small nucleolar RNA U3
AAGACUGUACUUUCAAGGAUCAUUUCUAUAGUUACUAGUUACUACAUUACUAGAGAAGUUUCUCUGAUUGUGUAGAACACCCAAAAGCCAAAACAUUCUUUCCGGAGCAUGAAGCUGGUUCUAGGUGUUGGGUUUGCAACUGCAGUUACCACUGAUGCUUGUUCUUCUCUUCGUUUGUAAGAGAGAGAGGGAAAGGAUGCAGGCUGA